rnacentral:rRNA from 1 species
AUUGAACGCUGGCGGCAGGCCUAACACAUGCAAGUCGAGCGGAUGAAGGGAGCUUGCUCCUUGAUUCAGCGGCGGACGGGUGAGUAAUGCCUAGGAAUCUGCCUAGUAGUGGGGGACAACGUUUCGAAAGGAACGCUGAUACCGCAUACGUCCUACGGGAGAAAGUGGGGGCUCUUCGGACCUCACGCUAUUAGAUGAGCCUAGGUCGGAUUAGCUAGUUGGUAGGGUAAAGGCCUACCAAGGCGACGAUCCGUAACUGGUCUGAGAGGAUGCUCAAUCCCACUGGAGCGGAGACCGGGUCCAGACUCCUACGGGAGGGAGAAGUGGGGAAUAUUGGACGAUGGGCGCAAGCCUGAUCCGGCCAUGCCGCGUGUGUGAAGAAGGCCUUCGGGUCGUAAAGCACUUUAAGUUGGGAGGAAGGGCUUACGGUUAAUACCUGUGAGUUUUGACGUUACCAACAGAAUAAGCACCGGCUAACUUCGUGCCAGCCGCCGCCGUAACAC